CGAACGCUGGCGGCAGGCCUAACACAUGCAAGUCGAGCGCACCUUCGGGUGAGCGGCGGACGGGUGAGUAACGCGUGGGAACGUACCCUUCUCUGCGGAAUAGCCACUGGAAACGGUGAGUAAUACCGCAUACGCCCUUCGGGGGAAAGAUUUAUCGGGGAAGGAUCGGCCCGCGUCUGAUUAGGUAGUUGGUGGGGUAAUGGCCUACCAAGCCUACGAUCAGUAGCUGGUUUUAGAGGAUGAUCAGCCACACUGGGACUGAGACACGGCCCAGACUCCUACGGGAGGCAGCAGUGGGGAAUCUUAGACAAUGGGCGCAAGCCUGAUCUAGCCAUGCCGCGUGAGUGAUGAAGGCCUUAGGGUCGUAAAGCUCUUUCGCCAGGGAUGAUAAUGACAGUACCUGGUAAAGAAACCCCGGCUAACUCC
rnacentral:rRNA from 1 species